GAGAGAUUUCCAGAAUACAAAACACGGGAUUUCUUCAUAGCUGGAGAAAGCUAUGCAGGACAUUAUGUGCCUCAGUUCGCGCAACUUGUACUGCAUAACAACAAAAACACUAGCCAAACAGUCAUUAAUCUAAAAGGAAUAGCUGUAAGUUUGUAUCAAACAAGUUUGCUUAUUUCUUAAUCUUGAAUUGAAAGACCGACAAGAAUUUCUUAUGAUGUUCAGAUUGGCAAUGCUUACAUCGAUUAUAGAGCAAGAUUUGAAGGAAUGUAUGAUUUUCUAUGGACACAUGCUUUCAUUUCCGAUGAAGUUCAUGAUGGCAUCACUUUGAACUGCAAUUUUACUUCUGAUGCAACAAUUUCAGACACAUGUCAAUCCUUUCGCAGUCAAGCAAAAAUUGGCAGAAUCUUUAUCUACGAUGUUUAUGCUCCUCUGUGCACUUCUCCUCCAAGCAGUUCUCCAUCAGUAUGAUUCCGAUAUUCUUUUACAAAAUCUACAAAUUUUUUGAGUUACCUUGUAAUCAAUUGGUAUCUUGGAGCAGAUAUCAGCUUUUGAUCCAUGCUCAGAUGACUACAUUGAUGCUUACUUGAAUACCCCUGAAGUUCAGAAGUCACUUCAUGCAAAUGUCACUAAUCUUCCAUAUCCCUGGGAAUCCUGCAAGUAAAUCUUCUCAUUCAACAAACUUUUACAGAUAUAGAGUCCAGCAGUUUUUAUUAUAAAGUCGAUCUUCGUGUCUUAAUAUUAAUCUGUACCUGAUCUGAAUGCAGCUUUAAUAUUAACAUCGACUGGACGGACAAGCCCUUGACAGUGUUGCCUGUAAUCAAGGAACUAAUGGCCAGUGACAUCAGAGUUUGGAUCUACAGGUAACCUGAUUAAUGCCAUCAACUGAACAUCAAAAUCGUGUUUCAAGUUCUGAUAAUCAAAAUAAAAUUGCAGCGGAGAUACAGAUGGUAUAAUUCCAGUAACAUCAAGUAGAUAUGCCAUAGACAGACUCGAGACAUCGGUGACAACUCCAUGGUACCCUUGGUACACUCAAGGCGAGGUGAGAGCCUAAAAAACUGUGUUGCUGCGAAUAUUUAGUUUUAUGAGGUACUGACAGAGUUCUUGUCACUCCUUUAAGGUUGGAGGAUACGCGGUUGGAUAUCAGAACUUGACAUUUGUGACAAUCAGAGGUUCUGGACACUUUGUUCCCAGUUAUCAACCAUCUCGCGCUCUUACCUUGUUCACGUCAUUCUUGGCAGGAAAGCUUCCACCUUCGCAUUGAAACUAAACAAUGGAAUGCAACUUGAUGAACUAAAGAAGUUCCAAACACGUAUACACUUCUUCAGAUAUUCUGAUUUUAUGUUUGACUAUUCAUGUCAGUGCAUUAAAGCAACCAUAUUUUGCUAUAAUAUCAAGAAAAAACACAAUUUCAUCUGUCUAUAUGCACUAUUUUGCCUGUAGUCAAUACCAAAUCCGAUAGUCUCAACUCAAACUCUACAUAAGUUUGAUCAUUUAUUCCUAUCCUAAACUCUUGUUUUAGUGACUAGUAACUUGUAGCUCUGAUACAAACUGUGACAGCUCUGAAUCCAGGGUCAGCAUCGGGUGCCACAAAAACAAAAUAAGCUUGUAGAUAAUCAAAAUCAUGCAAAUGACCGCUCAAACUCAAGAUUGCGGGGCCUCGGCCCCCGGUCCGGGAUGACCUCAAAAACCCGACCCGAGGACACCAUUAUACUAAACAAACCAAAAUAUGUCUACAUAAUCUUCAAAUUAAUAUUACAACAUAAAUGUUUAACCUUACAUCAAAAGUCUUGCAUCAUAAGUCUCUAAAACUUCAUAAUACAAGUCUAAUACGAAUACACGUUAAAACACAUCUGUCUAUUACAAAGUACUUUUAUUAAAAUUCUACGACAAUCCAUCAAAGUCUAGUACCUCAGUUCAUCACAUUUUUAGCCUUGCCUGAAUAUCCUUCUCCUUUGCCAAAACUCUUUCCUGUAGAGUUAGUAACAUAUCACUAUUAACUUAAGCUAUAAUUAACUUUUUUUAAGUUGACCCAAACAGGCUCCUACAUUCUAAAUUCUAAGAGAUGCCAAAGCAUGUUACUCCAUCCCACUCAUUCUUUCCAAAUUUACUAUUUUCUUUGUCCUAAAAUAUAUUACCUCAGAUCUUCUCCCUCGAGACUUAGGGUCACAUUAAAGGCUUCCUUCACUUUGUGACUCAAUCGAAGUUGUCAAUCAGAAUUGGUGUAAUAUUGUCAGCCACAUUAAAUUGUCCAACUGUACGAGCGAAGAACACCAUUUGCUGCUCCAAUGUGGACUUUAUGUUCUCAGCCUGUAAUCAGAAAGAAGGAUGCAAAUGUCACAGUAAUUUUCUAUAUCCAUUAGACAAUGGACGCUUAUAGAUCAAUGUCACCAACUCUAUUUGUUAUUUCUAAUUAAGUUAUAACUAUAAUUUAAUACAGCAAGCUAGAGUAAAAUCAUUAGUUUAACAACAACAUUGACAACGAGAUGCAAUUUAGCAAUCGAAUAAAAUCAAAUAGUAGAGAAAAAAACUUCUCAGUCUUUAAGAUAUUCCAGGUACAGGAGGGACUGUUAAGUCCUAUUUAGUACUUACCUUCCUGAAUCCAUGGGAUUCUCCUUCAUACUCAACAAGAGCAACAGGUAACCCCUUUUUCUUUAAUGCCGCAUGAAUUUUACAAGCUUGCUCAGGAUUCACAACCUGCCAACAAUAUUGACAAAUAGAACACUUUAAUACAAAUGAUGGUCAUUGCUCUAUUAGUAUUCUGAUUAUAUAAGCAUAAUACCCUAUUUCCGAAUUCAGAUCAUUCCUAAAUAUUAAGAACUCAACUACUUUAAUUUUUACUUUCAACUGUCAUCCAUCCAACUAAUUUAUAAAUCUUCAUUCAGGGGACAGUUUUUCUGCCAUGGCCAUAUGUAGGUUACAUCCCCUCAUUCUCCAUUUGGUAACUAAAAGUCAUUUCAUCUCAUAAAAUCAUUUAAAACUCGGAACUAACUACAACACUAGAAAAUAAUUAGUAAGAACAUGUUAACAGAGCUGCAUACCGGAUCUUCCAAUCCCUGGAACAAAAUUAUAGGGCAAGAGAAUUUCUCAACAGAAUUGAUAGGUGACAGAUCAUGUAAGGCAGCUUCAUUCCCUAUAAUUAAAGAAAAUAUUUACUUCACAGAUUUAUGAUCUGAUAAUGGAAUAUCAAUAUAUAUAAUGAACAUAUUACCACUUACCAGCAAGAUUACUGAUGUAGUGACACUCAAAUUUAUGCAUAUCUGCACUCAAAGAGCUCAAGUCGGCUAUCUGCUCAUUCAAAAACAGUACCUAGACUUAGCAGAAAAUAAAUAAAAAGCACGACCGACAUUCAAUUAUUAAUUCAGUUGCAUAUUAAACUUCAGCUCUGAUGAUAACUGAGGAAAGGUCUUUUUAUAAGUAUACACUUUCAUUUGCCUAAACUAAAUCAACCAUCAUGACAACAAAAAUUUUAAAAUAAAAAUAUUUGUACUUCAAAUUUAUUGAUUUUAAAUAAAGCAUGUGCAAGUUUCACAUCCAUUACUUGCAAUAAAAAGCCCAGAUUGUGGCACCUGGAAUCAAGAACAUUUUCGCCUCAACUCCCUAAAUAGAAAGAGGGGACAUAUAAUACAUUCAGCAAUCCCUAGUACAUCCUGUUUUUAGCAGAGAAAACAUUAUGUGAUUCCUUACUAAAAUAUGAAGUAAAGGGAAAAACAGCCAACUUCAGGGAUAUUAACUCACACCAAACAAAGAAGAUCCAGCCUUGAAUCUCUCUCUAAAAGCAAGAGUAGCCAAUGCUGUGUAGCCACCUGCAGAGCAUCCAGUUAUGCAAAGACGCUCACUGUCUACUUUACCCUCAUCCACCUACAUUAAUACAUGUAUUAACAAAUAUGAAUGGAAAAAGGAAAUUUAUUAUAGAAAAAACAAUUUUGCAGUAUGAAUAGAAUAAUAAAUAUUAGGUGGGAGUCAAAGGCAUUAUGACUUGCCAAAAAUUUUGCACAUGAACAACAAUCAUUAACAUCAACAGCUCCCCAUGAUCCCAGAAGCCGCUCUCGGUAUUCCCUUCCAUAACCUUCAGUAUCCCAUUAAAAAACAAUUUCAGUACAUAAUAUAUUAUACAAAGUGGUUAAUACACAUUUAUUUUUUAACUAAAAUUUAUGGUACAUUACACUAAUAACAAGUUGGUGUAAGACAGUCUCAUAUUAGUUCAUAAAAAAUGAACAUUUUCAUGACAAUAGACCUAAUGGUCAAAGCCUCGAAUCGACCAAAGUUUAAACAGUUGAGUUAUAUAUCUGAUCUUAUUAUGCGAGCUUUCAAUUACAAACUCGAAUACUGAUAUCAGACUAUUAUAAUAUUUAUACACCGCCAGCACAAAUAUGCCGGUACUUCAAAUAUAAGAAAAUAUGUUUAUCUAGCUGAGUCUUUUAAUUUAUCACAGGACCAAAAGUUUGUUCACUAUCGAGUUGAGACACAGGUAUUGUAGUUCUUUUGGUGAUACUUCUUAACAGUUUUCUGGUAUGUUUAUGUUAUAUAAAAUUCAAGUUUUUUCACCGUUGAGUCGAGAGACAGGUACUAUAGUACUUUCGGUGAUACUUCUUAACAGUUUUCUGUUAUGUUUAUGUUAUAUAAAAUUCAAGUUUUUUCACCGCUGAGUCAAGAGACAGGUAAUAUAGUACUUUCGGUGAUAUUGUUUACUACCUAAAAUUCGUAUUGUUGAGCAUAAUAUAGUGGAUUACUGGAUUAUAUAGCAGAAAAUUUAUUAGACCAAAUUACACAAGACAUUCUGUUACAUGGAUUUGAUUAUUGGAAAAAAUGAAUUCACAAACCUGAGCCGAUGCAAUUAUUUUAAUAGAAGAAAAUACUAUUUUUAAUCCUCAAGAUUAGGGUACGGGUAUCAGCCAUGGAAAUGGAGGGUAUGUGACGGGAGGUAAAUAGGAACGCGAACCAUUUGGAAUUUCAGGAAAUAUGUAGGUAUGAUUUACCCAGAUACUUGGUGGUACCUAUCCCAAUCAAUCAUAUUGCUCAUCCUAACACUAGCAGAUAGGAUCAGUUUUCCGAUUCCCAUUAACUGGGUUCAUCAACCAUAAAACAAACUCCCACUAAAAUUUAAUAAAUAGGUGAAGAAGACAUAGAAAUAGAUAAGAUGACAAACCCGAACUUCCUCCAUAGUUCACAUCCACAAAUGCCCAGCCUCGACUUGUAUAAUACUGGAUAUUAAGAUCUAAAAUUCCAUGUGCCUCAUCUGUUGGACCUCCUGUGAUGGUACACGUUAAACUUUGAGUCCCCAUAUAAAAGCAAGACAUAAGUAUAUGUUCCUGCGACAGAAAAAGAAUUUGACAGAUAGGACAUUCAUUUCUCUACUUUUGCCUGCUACUAGAGUUCAUAACAUUGUUAUAUAUUUCCUAGAGUUCUAGUUGCAUCAAAAAUCAUGAACUCGUAAAUGAAAAUAAAAGAUCAUAUCUACUUGACAUCUGACAAACACAAUGAACAGAAAAAUAUAAUCACUGGUAGAUGAUCAGAAAUCCUAAGACACAAAAGUUGAACAUAACAGGCAACAAUACAAGAUAGAUACAAUAUAGCUUAUGGAUCCCUAUUCUCAAACUUAAAAUUUAUUCACCCUCUUACAGUCAAAUUUGAGAAAGCAGACAUUACUGAAGAGCAUCAAAUUAAUUUGUAAAAGUUUGUCACCAGCUCCAGCUUGCAGAUGAUGAGCAAGAAACACCAUAAAAGAAAACACAUUUACAUUGCAAUCUGUCAGUGCCAUAAAAAACGCACCAACCAUGAUAUUUUUUGUCUCUGCCUCUGCAAUCAAGUGUUCUUGUUACGCGAGUCAUCAUCUUGUACACAUAUGUUCUCAGUAAUAAAUAUCUUUAUAUUUAAUAUCUUGACUCUGUUACUACUAUGAGUUGGUUAAUGUUAUUGCUGCAAAACAGUUGGAGAUUGUACCAUGACUUUGUAACAAUAAAGGAGGUUUCUCCUCCUCAUUAAGCUUGUAAUUGAGAUUGUUGGGUGGAUAAAAGAAUGCAUAUGCUGUCUGAUCAGCAACAUCUGUUGGAAAUUCUAUUAACUCUGGUAUGCUGAAGUAUGAUUCAUGCUUCUCGCUGUCCAAAGAAGAACUCCAUAUGAUCUGACAGUCUACCACUUCGGCCUUCUGAUUGCUUAAGGUAACCUUUUAACAUAGAAUGGAUUUGCACAAUAUUGAUAAAAAUCUGUUACAUGCUAGCUGUGAAGACUUUGAAAGGGAAGGAGAAUACAUGUAUGUGGCACAGUACCUUCACUAAUGAUACUGGAAUAACUGCAGAUGCGCCCUCGAUGUAUAGAAACUGGCCCCCUGAAACCUGCGCUCAUUAGUGCCAACAGUUUUUUAGGACAACCACGUUAAAGCCCCAGUCACAAUGGAAACCCAGAUUUAUAAAUAACUGAAAAGUGUAUAAUUUGACCUACAAUGUUGGCUAUAUAUGACAAAGGAACAUCAACUUUUGAAAAAGAGUUCUGGACUUCAUCUAUGAUGCCAAGAUAUGAUUUUCCCUUUUUCCUGCACAUUCAUAAGGACGGAAUAAAUUCCAGACGAAAUUCUCAAGUUCCCUUGAAAUAAAAUGUGUGUAUAUGUAUUUACUGACUAUUGUAAAACACCUGUAACUGCAAGCAAUGAUGCUACCCUGCUCAUUGCUCUGAAUAAAAUCAUAGGAGCUCAUUCCGAAAACCCAUAGAGGUCUUGUGAAUUCAGCAUUCAAAGAACAUACUGCCUGAAUUUCUUUUCCAUGCCCAACCUGCCUCCGGAGCCAGUCAAAUUUGUCAGUCAUUUUUUUAAACAUGCGCUAAUUCUACAAGAAUUGCAGCUAUGAGAUAAACAGCAAGCCAGGCAAUCAAAUGGAGGCCGACAAUAGAACUGGAAACCCACCAUAGCAGUGAGAUUAAUUGACAAUAAAAUCUUAUUGGUGGAUAGUGUAGCUCACCCAUUUAUAAAUAUUCCAAAAUCCAUUAUUUCUGUCGGUAAUGAAGAAUAGUUCCCCUGCAUAAAUACAUUGAUGAUUGAACGGUAUGUAGGGGACAGAGAGUACAUAACCUGUACAUAAAGCCAUGCAGUCGUAUGACCUGCCAAGUAGCCUCUUUACCUGUAGAAGACCACUUAGGCUCACUUGGAGACUCCACUAUUGAAGGAUCAGCACCAGCAACACAGGUUCGCUUGUAGAUAUCACUGGUUUUAUAAGAUAAACAGAUCAAUUAACAUAUAAAAAUAUUUAGGCACUAGUCACAUGUGUAGUUCUGGCUUCUAACAGUUGAGCUCUUAAAGCAAUACAUGUAUGAUUAAGUAGGAUUAGCCAUUGAAUUAAAUUGAUUCCUUGAUCUUCUUUAUUCCACAGAGAAAACAUUUUAACAGACAAAGGAAAAUAAUAUCAAACUUAUAAUCUAUAAAUCAAUUUAUUUCUUCAAUGAAUACAAAGGAAAGUUAAGGUUAGCAGUUUUUUCAAACUUAAUAUUGAAUUUUGAAUAUACUACCAUAUGUUUUAGAACAAUUAUUUUAAUAUAUUAUUUAUGUUCUUACUUUUAAAAGGUUAAAAGUCUUUUUUUUCUUAAAUUAAAAAGAAAAAAAGAGGUCACCUUAAUUUGACACCAUUAAUUAACCAUGUUUAAAAGGGUAUAAUAUUAUUACCAUCAAAGAUAUUAUUUAAAAGGUUCAUUAUAAUUGUAAUUCAGCCCAAAAAAUUAAAAAAUCAGUUUUUCUUGAUUGGUACCAAAUACUUACCAGAUGAACCCGGCCGACUAACCUAUGAUGUUUCGCAUUUAACAGCGCUGUACAGAUAUUACUCACUUAACACCUUAUUUACAAGCAAAC
rnacentral:lncRNA from 1 species